ensembl:lncRNA
CUUUUUUUUUUUUUUUUUUUUUUUGCUUUUUCUAGGGCCACUCCCACGGCAUAUGGAGGUUCCCAGGCUAGGGGUCCAAUCGGAGCUGUAGCCACCGGCCUACGCCAGAGCCACAGCAACGCAGGAUCUGAGCCGCGUCUGCAACCUACACCACAGCUCACGGCAACACUGGAUCCUUAACCCACUGAGCAAGGCCAGGGAUCGAACCUGCAACCUCAUGGUUCCUAGUCGGAUUCGUUAACCACUGCACCAUGAUGGGAACCAUGAGUUAAGUCUUUUGAAACAUACUUCUUGCCUUGCUCUAGGACCCUGGUAGAGAAUAAACCCCUCACCAGAGGACAAGUUGGCCUCAUUGACAGAGGUACCCAUCUGGUUUUGUCUAAUUCAUCAAGCUAUCAAGUCAGGCAUCAGCAGCAGCCUGCUAUCAACGAGAGGAAGUAGCAUUUCUGGGAUCCACCUUCAGCGGAUCCUAAAGGCACAAAUUGAUUGUGUGAACAAAGCUUAUACCCCCUGUGUGUCCGCCACUCUGCACCAGCAUCCUUCCUCUGCCCACACCUAAAGUCAGACAGGGAGCUCCCAGCAGUGGGCUGAGGAAGAAGGAAAAAUCAAAUACAGUUUAAACAUGGCCCCCAAGAUGGAAGUGGAUUUCUGCAAAGUUGCAGCCCCAACCAGAUGGCCCUUAAGACAGCAGAGAAUGGAAAGCCACACGUGGGAACGGAGCUUAGAACAGCUCACCUCAAAGUCCACUUUGCACAGAGUUGGAAAGACAGCCUAGUGUGUGAGCUGUGGCUGUAUAAUUUGGACAAAUAUUCAGGGAAUUGGAAGAAAAACUGUAAUUUGGUGACAAGGAUGUCUAGCGAAGAAGAAGAUGGAGAGGUAUCUUAGAAUGGGGCCAUAGUGACCAUGUGAGUUGGUCCCAAAGACCCCCACCAGCAUGAAGGUUCUCGGUGAUCAAGAGGGAAAAACAACCUGCGCUGGAGCUGCUGGUCAACCUGCUCCCCACACACCCCACUUUUGCCUCCAUGGACUCAUGAAUAAAGUGACUGUAAGAUGCAGAGAUGAAGAUAAGGGAUGGCCUCUCUGUUGCCCCUGGACCGGCCUGCCUCUUGUUACUGCUGAGUGUCCUAAUCAUCCUUCAGUGGCACCCAGCAUUGUAUCCCAUUCUUAAACCAAACCCUGAGGACCAAGCUGGCACUCAUCAGAAAGCUGAUUAUAUUGGAGCCACUCACUCCAUCAUGGAGGGGCCAGAAAAUUGUCCUCAGUGGAAACAUCCCUGAUGCUGAAAAGAAUUUUCCUUCUCUGCCUACCAAGCUCCCUCCUGCCACACAAUCCCCCUCCUGCAUUUCUAUAGGUUGACUCUGUGUGUCCACUCAAAAUUCCUAUGUUGAAAUCCUAAUGCCAAGAGUGAUGGUACCAGGAGGUGGGAGCUUAGGGAGGUGAUAAGGUCCCGAGAGUGAGCGCUUAUGAAUGAGAUUAAUACCUCCUAAAAAGAAGUCAGAAGAGCUCCCCAGCCCCUUCUCCCAUCUGAGGACACAGCAAAAAGCUGCAAGAGGGCCUUCAGUCAGCCAUUCUGGCACCCUAGUCUUAGGCUUCCAGACUCCAGCUCUGUAAGAAAUUUCUGUGCUGCCCAGUCUGUCAUAGUAGCCUGAACAGACUAAAAUAUGCAUCUUCCUGAAGUUCCUGCAUCUCUGGAUUGCCGGGAAGCAGGUUUGAUCCCUGGCCUGGCACAGUGGGUUAAGAAUCCAGUGUUGCCACAGCUAUAGCAUAGGUCACAGCCAUAGCUUGGAUCUGAUUCCUGGCCUGGGAACGCCGUAUGCCAUGGCAUGGCCAAAAAAAAAAAAAAUACACACACACACACACACACAGACAUACACCAUGUGUCAUAUCCAAACCAUGUGUCAUAUCCAAACCAUGUUGUUACUAAAUGGGCUGCCAUGUCCAUGCUCAAGAAUUAAAGGAGUCAGGGGGCUCCCAGCUCUUACCACAACCUCAGCACCUAGAAGCAACUGGCCUACAGAGCUGUUCAUUCCAGGGCCAGGUAGAAAGCAAUACUGGCUUAGAUUGUAGUCUUUUUUCCUGAUGUGGUUAUUUGCCCUGAACCAGCAACCAUACUGGGUGCUAAUUUUGCCAUCGUUAGAAUACCUUGUUCUGGGAUCCAAAGAAUGCCAAUUAGAGCAGCACUUCUAAUACUUCACUCACACAAGUUUUAUUUAUCAUCUUUUCGACUGAGGUUUUGCUGGUGUAGAAGUCUGAGUUGCUGGGACAAAAUUAUUGCAUUAGACACAACCAUGUUCCCAUAGCAAAGGGCGGCCUAUGGACAUUUCAGGUCCCUGGAUAAAACAGGUACGAAAGGAAGGUGACCACAUUUACUGGGGAGAUUAGCUUGGUUAUUCAGGGAAAAUGGAAUUCCUGUUAAAUUAGGCAGACAAUGGGAAAAGAGCCCUCAAACCAAGAAACUCUGUGGGUGGCCCCAUUUCAUGCCAUGUCAAGUGGUGAAAAUCAAUGAAAGACCAUGAGAACCAAUGUAAAAAGGACCUGGCUAAGAUUUAUGCUCUUCUGGAGUGAAGCCUUGGGUGACUCCCUGCGUGAAGAACCCUCAUCUGCUGAGAAGCUGGCUGAAGGCAAAGGCAACGUAGAAUGGGUGAGAUGGAAUAAGACAGAUGCAAGUAAAAAAUACCAAAUAAAGCCUCAUGAUCAGUUGCAGAAAUGAUCAUUAUUGUAGCAAACCCAUUUCUUCUGUCCAUGCUAGGUCAUAUGUUUGUCUUCUCUCUCGUGUUUCGCUACUAUUCUACAAGACUUUCAUUAAACUCUAGGGGUAAACACCAACACCCAGAGGUGAAGGCUGCCACUGGUGACACUUGGGGUGUCUUGUUUGGAAGGGAAAUUCAAUGUAUUCUCAUUUGCAUGAGAGAUGGUUUCAUUAUAAUAAUGAGUGUCCUUUUUUGCUGCUGUUGUGGUUGCAAAGUUUGUGAGGGAAAAAGGGAAGCCACAGAUGUCCAGUAAUCAAAGGUGUCUGUGGCAAGAAUUGGAUGUUGGCUCCAGCCAGUGCAUUCCAACCCCCUUGUGUUGUAUCAGGCCUUUCUGCAAGCUGGAGGCUGAGAAAUGCAAGACUUUCAUUUCCCAGGCAUCCUUCUAGCUCUGAUUUCCCACAUGACCUUGCCACCCUAGCUCUCUGUAAAAAAGGAAUGGGCAAAGAGAUGCUCGCACUCAGGUUUGGGCUAUAUUCUCAGCCACAAUAGGAAAUUCAGAGGUGUCAGAGUCAGCAGGAUGGGAGUUUGAAUCCCUACGCUGCUAGGAAUCCAAUGAGGUUGUGGGCAAUUUCCUGACCUUCUCAGCAUCCCGUGGGUCUAGUGAUAACCCCUCGCUGGGAAAACUAUCAUGAGAAAGAAGAGGGAUCACGAGUGUAAAGCACCUAGUAGAGUACCUGGCACACAUCACAAGUGUUGCUUCCUCAUCCCCUAACAAUUGACAGAGCGGUUUGGUGACUGGUCAUAUCUUUUCCCCAGAAACGAGUUAAGAAAUGUGCAACUUUACAGGAACGAUGAAAAAAAGCAAAUAUGAUAUUAUCUAACAGGGCAUGAAGCCAGGGGAAAUAUCACUCCAAUAAGGAUCUGAUGUUUUAUGAGGAAUAGAAGGUUAUCUGGACAAAAGCCCCCAUUAGAAGGUAGGGCCAACAUCACUUGAUAAGAUUAGACCACCUUGCUCUUGAACCAGCUGUGUCAGUUAAGUAGUUUACAGGUGGGAGAGUUGUGUUUUGUGCAGCCUGCUGAUUCCUCAUCAUCCUGAUUUCUUUCUUUGAGCUGGAACAGCUUUUUUUUUUUUUUUAGUAUUUUCUGAGUUUAAGUUCCUAAAAUAUGUUGUUACCUGCCCUUCACUUUCAUGGUAAAGCAGAACUAUUUGAAGCGCUUGUUCUCAGAAUUCACCCAUGAAUUGAACCUAUAGAGGGGUGAAGAAUAAAAAUUCAAACUGUUUCUUCACAGUGGAAACCACCACUUUUGAAACAAUAAAGUGGAGGUAGUUUUCGGAACUGGCUGUCUUGUUGAGGCUAAUUGGUAAAUGUUUGGGAUCUGAUAAUCCAGUGAACAAGAAAGCUAUUCAGUAUCAGGUUACAAAAUAUACAAUGCCUGAUACAUUGUCUGUUACAAGCUGCUCAGGGCUUCCCAUGCCCUAGGCGAGGGAAGAAGUUGUUUAGAGAAAUGGUUUAGAGGAGAGAAGAAGUGUCUUUUCUCUUUUAUUAAAACAUUUCAUGAGCCUAAAGCAAGUUUGGUGUUACACUUAAAUAUUUCCAGAUUGCAUUCAUUUGAUUCUCCUAAUAUGACCAGGAAUAUUAAAACAAUGAACUAAUAUUUAGGUAUAUACCAAUAUAAGUGUAGUACUUAUUGUUCCCUAAAUGAUAUUAAUUCUACCCACUUGUUAAUGGGUGAUAGGAAAGAAGUAAAGGGAAGAAUGGAGGAUAAAAGAGGAAAAAAAGUAACUGAGACAGAUAGUUAAGGAGGAAGAAAAAGGAGACAUUAAAAGUAGAUAAAGAGGAAGGGGAAAAUAUAAGGCAUAUAAAUGAAAGCAGAGAGAGAAAGAGAAAGAGAGAGGGUAACUCUAAAAUAUAAUAGGAAACACAAUGCUUAAAAAAAAAAUCUGAAUUCCAGAGUUCCUGCUGUGGGACAGUGGGUUAAGAAUCUGACUGCAGCCACUCAGGUCAAUGCAGAUGUGCAGGUUUGAUCCUGGCCCAGUGCAGUGGGUUAGAGGAUCUGGUGGUGUUGCAGCUGCAGCUAAAAUGUAAUCCCUGGCCUGGGAACGUCCAUAAGCUACAGGUGCAGUCAUUAAAAAAAAAAAUCUGGGAGUUGCUGUCAUAGCUCAGAGGUUAACAAACAGGAUGAGCAUCCUUGAGGAUGUGGGUUUGAUCCCUGGCCUCGCUCAGUGGGUUAAGGAUCUGGCAUUGCCGCAGCUAAAAUUGGGUUAAGGAUCUGGCAUUGCUGUGAGCUAUGGUGCAGGUCACAGAUGAAGCUUGGAUCCAGCGUUGCUGUGGCUCUGGUGCAGGCCAGCAGCUGUAGAUCCGAUUGGACCCC